rnacentral:lncRNA from 1 species
CCAGGAUUAUAAUUUAGUACGCCAGACGCGUGUUUCGUCUACAUAAGACUCAUCAGUGACGCUCAUAUUAAAAUAUUAUAAAGCCAAACGAGUACAAAGUUGAAGAGCAUUGAGGAUCCAACAUUUAUCAUGUUUAUUGACUAGAAUGGCAGAUUUUUACCUGGAGCAUAAUCACAGCAUGCUACAUAACAGAAUAUUAUAUUGAUCCAUAAGCACUUCGUUUCUCAAUAUCCAUGCCACAGUUGAUGUAUAAUCAUUUUUUCAUUUGUAUUUCUUUUUCAAAUACUUUUCUGGAUUUUCUAUAAAUUGCUUUAUUUCUAUUCCAGCUUUGUCUAAAGAUUGAUGGCUUUUCUUCACAAAAAGGUUUCUCUGUCUGUUAAAGUAUUGUGGCAGAUGCUUUUCUCUAAUAUGCAAAAGAAGCCGUUCCAACAUAUUUUGGAUCCGUUCUCCUAUGAGACGCAUUCGCCAUUGAUGGUCCUCUGGAUAGCGGUCACACUCGAGGAACAGAAUGUUGAUCAAGUGAUACGAUGUUAGACCAUCGGUCACCUCUUUCGGACACCAACUCAGCUCACGAAGCCGCUUCAUUAUUCUGAGAGACUUUUUCCGACAUGAUCCAUCCUUAUCAAUGUUUUUUAGAAGUUCUCUUUCACAUGUGGCAAAUGACAGUUUCCAGUAUAGAGGAUCUGUUGUCACUAAAUUUAUUCCGAUAGCAAACAUGUGCUCUACUUUUUCAGAGGACGGCCACUUAGCCCCAGGUAUGGGCCAUCCGAAGUCAGGCUGCCACCUCAUCUCAGACUGAAAUGGUAACUGCACCUUCAGCAUCGGAGCCAUGUCUAUGCUUAUGCUGUCUCCCUCCAGUUGUUUUAUGAUUAUUGUUAUAGCUGGAGAAUCGUUUAGAUUUUGAACAGUGACUUGAUGACUGCAAAUUUGGGCUUUAAUAAUAUGGUCAACAGCAGCACACACUAGAGUUUUAAAUUGUCUUUUCACACUGAUUGGAACUAUAAAAUCGCCCAGUGUAACACAGUUUGGUCCUUUAUUUAAUCCUUCGGGUUUCCAUUUUUGAACCGAAGUGUUAACAAGUAAGGGAAAUUUUAAUAACAUUCUUGGUAGUGAAUUCUGGGAAUGUAUCACCUUUUUCGUCUUUCUGUCAAAGUCAUAGAAUGGUGUUUGAUGUAAAUGUAACCACUGAUGUGUCAUCCCGGUAUCAAACACUACACUGAAGUCAAAUUCAUCUGCUUCGGACACCUUGGUAUACGAAUGGAAACUCCCAAUGCUCUCUUUAUUUAUCGAAAAUCUCUUGUCUGCACUGUGAACGUAUUUCAGAAUUUCUUCAACUAUAAAUCUAACAAGCCAAGAGUUUCUCCUAGUUUCUAUUAAAUCCAUUUGCACAUGUUCGUUGUAAAAAUGAUGAAAUAGUCCAUUUAAAUAUGCCAUAUUCGAAACUCGCGGCUCAAUUUGUGUGUACCUAAAUUGGGCGUACUGAAUUAUGCUAUGUAAAACAUAAUCGGAGUAUUUGUGCAAAACCUUAUGAUCUACGCCCAUAAACUCCAAUUUCGAACUUCCAUCUUGUCGUAGUUGAAUAACAAAUCUUAAACAAUCAUUACCACGUGAUUGCACAUUUAAAAUCACGUAAUUAUGUCUGAUAAUCAUUCGCACACCGUUGUGA